GUUAUAUGGUCAAGCGAAUAAGCGCACACGGUGGAUGCCUAGGCGGUCAGAGGCGAUGAAGGACGUGGUAGCCUGCGAAAAGUGUCGGGGAGCUGGCAACAAGCUUUGAUCCGGCAAUAUCCGAAUGGGGAAACCCACUGCUUCGGCAGUAUCCUGCAGUGAAUUCAUAGCUGCUGGAAGCGAACCCGGUGAACUGAAAUAUCUAAGUAACCGGAGGAAAAGAAAUCAACCGAGAUUCCCUAAGUAGUGACGAGCGAACGGGGAACAGCCCUUAAGCUGGAAUGGCUUUAGAAAAACAAUCUGGAAAGAUUGGCCAUAGAAGGUGAUAGCCCUGUAUUUAAAAGGGCCACUCCAGUGAAGACGAGUAGGGCGGGGCACGUGAAACCCUGUCUGAAUAUGGGGGGACCAUCCUCCAAGGCUAAAUACUCCUGACCGACCGAUAGUGAACCAGUACCGUGAGGGAAAGGCGAAAAGAACCCCGGAGAGGGGAGUGAAAUAGAUCCUGAAACCGUGUGCGUACAAGCAGUAGGAGCUCGCAAGAGUGACUGCGUACCUUUUGUAUAAUGGGUCAGCGACUUACUGUUCGUGGCAAGCUUAACCGUAUAGGGGAGGCGAAGGGAAACCGAGUCUGAUAAGGGCGCAUAGUCGCGGGCAGUAGACCCGAAACCGGGUGAUCUAGUCAUGGCCAGGGUGAAGGUGCCGUAACAGGUACUGGAGGCCCGAACCCACGUCUGUUGCAAAAGACGGGGAUGAGCUGUGAUUAGGAGUGAAAAGCUAAUCGAACCCGGAGAUAGCUGGUUCUCCUCGAAAGCUAUUUAGGUAGCGCCUCGGACGAAUACUACUGGGGGUAGAGCACUGUUAUGGCUAGGGGGUCAUCGCGACUUACCAAACCAUUGCAAACUCCGAAUACCAGUACGUACUAUCCGGGAGACACACGGCGGGUGCUAACGUCCGUCGUGAAAAGGGAAACAACCCAGACCCACAGCUAAGGUCCCAAAUUCACUGCUAAGUGGAAAACGAUGUGGAAAGGCAUAGACAGCCAGGAGGUUGGCUUAGAAGCAGCCACCCUUUAAAGAAAGCGUAAUAGCUCACUGGUCGAGUCGGUCUGCGCGGAAGAUUUAACGGGGCUAAGCAGUGAACCGAAGCUUGGGGUGCAUAAAACUUGUUUUAUGCGCGGUAGAGGAGCGUUCCGUAAGCCUGCGAAGGUGGAUUGAGAAGUCUGCUGGAGGUAUCGGAAGUGCGAAUGCUGACAUGAGUAACGAUAAUGCGGGUGAAAAGCCCGCACGCCGAAAGCCCAAGGUUUCCUUGCGCAACGUUAAUCGACGCAGGGUUAGUCGGUCCCUAAGGCGAGGGCGAAAGCCGUAGUCGAUGGGAAGCAGGUUAAUAUUCCUGCACCUCGCGUGAGUGCGAUGGAGGGACGGAGAAGGUUAGGUGUACCGGGCGUUGGUUGUCCCGGGGAAAGGCGGUAGGUUUGGAUCUUUGGCAAAUCCGGGAUCCUUUAAGACCGAGCACCGAGACGAGCCUUUAUGGCGAAGUCACUGAUACCACGCUUCCAGGAAAAGCUCCUAAGCUUCAGCUCACGAAGACCGUACCGUAAACCGACACAGGUGGGUAGGAUGAGAAUUCUCAGGCGCUUGAGAGAACUCGGGUGAAGGAACUAGGCAACAUGGCACCGUAACUUCGGGAGAAGGUGCACCCUUUUUGGUGGCUCAUGCGAGCUAUAGCUGAAGAGGGUCGCAGAAACCAGGCCGCUGCGACUGUUUAUCAAAAACACAGCACUCUGCAAACACGAAAGUGGACGUAUAGGGUGUGACGCCUGCCCGGUGCUGGAAGGUUAAUUGAUGGGGUCAGCCGCAAGGCGAAGCUCUUGAUCGAAGCCCCAGUAAACGGCGGCCGUAACUAUAACGGUCCUAAGGUAGCGAAAUUCCUUGUCGGGUAAGUUCCGACCUGCACGAAUGGCGUAACGACAGCGGCGCUGUCUCCACCCGAGACUCAGUGAAAUUGAAAUCGCUGUGAAGAUGCAGCGUUCCCGUGGCAAGACGGAAAGACCCCGUGAACCUUUACUAUAGCUUUACACUGAACGUUGAGUUCGUCUGUGUAGGAUAGGUGGGAGGCUAUGAAACUGUGGCGCUAGCUGCAGUGGAGCCAUCCUUGAAAUACCACCCUGUCGUGCUUGACGUUCUAACCUAGGUCCGUUAUCCGGAUCAGGGACCGUGUAUGGUGGGUAGUUUGACUGGGGCGGUCUCCUCCUAAAGAGUAACGGAGGAGCACGAAGGUACGCUCAGCGCGGUCGGACAUCGCGCACUGUGUGCAAAGGCAUAAGCGUGCUUGACUGCAAGAUCGACGGAUCAAGCAGGUACGAAAGUAGGUCUUAGUGAUCCGGUGGUUCUGUAUGGAAGGGCCAUCGCUCAACGGAUAAAAGGUACUCCGGGGAUAACAGGCUGAUACCGCCCAAGAGUUCAUAUCGACGGCGGUGUUUGGCACCUCGAUGUCGGCUCAUCACAUCCUGGGGCUGUAGUCGGUCCCAAGGGUAUGGCUGUUCGCCAUUUAAAGUGGUACGCGAGCUGGGUUCAGAACGUCGUGAGACAGUUCGGUCCCUAUCUGCCAUGGGCGUUGGAAGUUUGAGAGGGGCUGCUCCUAGUACGAGAGGACCGGAGUGGACGAACCUCUGGUGUUCCGGUUGUCACGCCAGUGGCAUUGCCGGGUAGCUAUGUUCGGAAGCGAUAACCGCUGAAAGCAUCUAAGCGGGAAGCGCGCCUCAAGAUGAGACUUCCCGGGGCACAAGCCCCCUAAAGGAACCAUAUAGACUAUGUGGUUGAUAGGUCAGGUGUGUAAGUACAGCAAUGUAUUGAGCUAACUGAUACUAAUGAUCCGUGCGGCUUGACCAUAUAACCU
rnacentral:rRNA from 1 species